UACGUAGGGUGCAAGCGUUGUCCGGAAUUAUUGGGCGUAAAGAGCUCGUAGGCGGUUUGUUAAGUCGGUUGUGAAAGCCCGGGGCUCAACCCCCGGAGAGUCGACCGAUACUGGCAGACUAGAGUGCGGUAGGGGAGAUUGGAAUUCCUGGUGUAGCGGUGGAAUGCGCAGAUAUCAGGAGGAACACCGAUGGCGAAGGCAGAUCUCUGGGCCGUAACUGACGCUGAGGAGCGAAAGCAUGGGGAGCGAACAGG
rnacentral:rRNA from 1 species